rnacentral:sRNA from 12 species
CCAUACUCCUGAUGGUAGUGGCAUCCUUUUUUGCAAAAAAAGAUAUAACGGACAGCAGGUAGAAAC